rnacentral:rRNA from 1 species
CAGCCGCCGCGGUAAUACGUAGGUCCCGAGCGUUGUCCGGAUUUAUUGGGCGUAAAGCGAGCGCAGGCGGUUAGAUAAGUCUGAAGUUAAAGGCUGUGGCUUAACCAUAGUACGCUUUGGAAACUGUUUAACUUGAGUGCAAGAGGGGAGAGUGGAAUUCCAUGUGUAGCGGUGAAAUGCGUAGAUAUAUGGAGGAACACCGGUGGCGAAAGCGGCCCUCUGGCUUGUAACUGACGCUGAGGCUCGAAAGCGUGGGGAGCAAACAGGAUUAGAGACCCCCGUAGUCCCUGUCUCUUAUACA